UUCAUUUAAUUCCACGAACAUAAUGUGCUGUAUUUCUACCCAAGUAUAUACCAUGGUACUUGUGUCCAUGCUUAAUUCGUUGGUUUGAAUCGUAUUUACCAAUAUCAUAGCGCACCCUACUGAAAUGCGAUGAAAUCGGUAAGGCCGCGGAUUUCGAAUCUCAAGACUUCGGUCUAUGGUGUAAGGUGUUUACCGAAGUUUGUGAAACUACAAUGUACUUGGGGCGUUUCGUGAACAUGAAAUGCAGCUUUAGAACAAUUCUUCUUUUUAUACAAACUGCAAUUACCAUAUGUACUAUGCGAUGCGUACUCACUCGAGUCUCGAUCACCACCCACGUGCAAAUUAUUUCCGCGACGAUAUUAGAUUCGUCUACACGUAUAGAAACAUUUAAUAUUUAGAUGAAAAAAAGUUGAAAAGAAACACAUAUAUUUUGCUGUACCGACUGCUGUAAUCUGCUAGUACACUGGACCAUUUUGAUACACCAAGGUUUCUGAACUGUAGGCAGAAAGUUUGCAAACGAUCCCAUUCCAAGAGACGUCUCUAGCGAUGUUAACUCAUGCAAUUGAUUGGCAAGUAAGUUGAACGUUUUGCCGUGUGCGGCGUCGCGGUCAUUUUGAUCAGAUUCAUCGUCAUAUGCUACACAAUUAUGUAGGUUGAAUCGUUUAAAAGAAGAAAAAGAAACGGAAACA